AUGAUAGACCUCAAUGUGUUGCCUCCCGAUCUCAAUGAGUUUCCUAAUGAUGAUGUCGAGUUUGUACAACCAGGGGUUUUCACACAGCCAAAUCAAGAUCAUGGCUUGAUGAAUGAUGUUGAUGUCAACAUGCAAUCAGAAAGCCAUACACUUGAGGAAACAAACACCACAGUUGCAGGACCUACUGAAACAGAACUAAGGGCAGGGGCAGUUGGUGCUGAUCGAAAUACUGUGGAUGAAGAUGAGGCUGGUUCUCAACCAAUGGAGCCAUUUGUUGGGAUGAGAUUUGAUACUCUGCAGGGUUCUAAGGAUCACUACAAUGAUUAUGCCCUAAAGAUGGGUUUCUCUAUUAAGAUGACACUUUGUCCGUGA
rnacentral:rRNA from 1 species